rnacentral:tRNA from 1 species
GAGGUUGUGGCUCAGUGGUAGAGUGCUCGCCUAGCACAUGUGAGGCAUUGGGUUCGAUCCUCAACACCACA